AAGACAAGAAGGUGAAGGAGAAGAUCGAUGCACGCAACCAACUGGAAACCUAUGUCUAUAACAUGAAAAACACCAUUGAUGACAAGGACAAGCUUGCUGAGAAGCUGGAGAGCGACGAGAAGGAGAAGGUGGAGGCGGCUAUCAAGGAAGCGCUCGAGUGGCUCGAUGAUAAUCAGAGCGCUGAGAAGGAGGAUUAUGAUGAGAAGCUGAAGGAGGUGGAGGCUGUUUGUAAUCCGAUCAUCUCUGCUGUGUAUCAGAGAUCUGGUGGUGCUCCUGGUGGCUCUGAUUCGAGUGAGGAUGAUGAUGACUCGCAUGAUGAGCUUUGAGCUUUCUCCAAGUUAGACUAGAACUUGAGAUCAUCUUAUUUUUACUUAAGAAUUACUAGCAUAUAUUACUUUGGGCUUUGUUUUCAGCCUGGACUAGAUUUCGGGUUAUAUGAAGCCCAUAAAUGGCAAUGCCUUUUUUGGUUACAGAUUAAGUUAUUUAAGUAAUUGCAAAA
rnacentral:misc_RNA from 1 species